rnacentral:rRNA from 1 species
CGUGGGUAACCUGCCCAAGAGAUCGGGAUAACACCUGGAAACAGAUGCUAAUACCGGAUAACAACAGAUGAUGCCUAUCAACUGUUUAAAAGAUGGUUCUGCUAUCACUCUUGGAUGGACCUGCGGUGCAUUAGCUAGUUGGUAGGGUAACGGCCUACCAAGGCGAUGAUGCAUAGCCGAGUUGAGAGACUGAUGGCCACAUUGGGACUGAGACACGGCCCAAACUCCUACGGGAGGUAGCAGGC